UCCCACCCCGUCUCUCUCUCUCUCUCUCUCUCUCUCUCUCUCUCUCUCCCCUAUUCUCUUCUCCAUCGCCUCAAAACACCGAAAAAAAAAAAACUCAGAUCAAGAAUUUUAAAACAAAAAACUCAAUCCAAACCCAGAUUGUUUGAGUUCAUGGUCCUUUGCUCUAUGUAUGUGAGUGCGAUUGUAAGAUUGGAUUUUAUUUUGGUGGGAAGCUUGGGGUUUGAUUUUCUUUGGCUGGACAUGACGGAGUGGGGAGGGAAGCUGGGAUUUGGAUCUUUUGUGGUUGCAUGGUUUGGUAGUUGGUAAAAUCAUUGAAGAUUUUGAACUAUUCUUCAAGGUUGUAGGGGCUUCUUCUUCGCUUGAUUUGAUUCGAGGAGUGCAGAUGGGAAUUGUGUAAUUGGAGGGACAAGGGCUGUCCGUUUGAAAAUUAAGUGAGGGCAUUAUGGGAAAGCCAAAAUUUCAUUAAAACCACCGGUUAAAUUUUUUUUUUAAGCAGCUUUUGAAAGCUGCCUUCUCCCUGCUUUGGAAAAAUAGCGGUCACUGACCGCAAUUUUUUUUAAAAGCUGAUUUUUGAUGUUUACCAAACACCUUAAUUUGGGAAAUUUUUUUUUAAAGCUGCUUUUAAAAAAAUUUAAGCACUCCCAAACGCUACCUUAGACAGCUGUAGUUUUCAGCUUCUAGCUUACAUUUUUGUCAAGGAAACAAGCCUAUACACAGGAGAACUAACUGACAUAAGCUUAGUCGGUGAGUGUAGUACUUUGAAUAUUUUAUAUUAAAGCACACUUUGAUCUCAGAUUUUUUUGUAUUCAGACCGACUUUGCUAAGUCGGUUUGCACAUUCAUCAAUAUUUUAGACUUUUUUAUA